AUAUAUAUAUAUAUAUAUAUAUAUAUCAACACAUUAUUUAUAGUUUCUCCCACUCCUGGCUGGUGUUUGUGUGUGUGUGUGUAGACACACAAUAUGUAAUAUAAUCUGAUGUAUAUGUGUCUUCCCCCCACAGUUUAAAAACGCUUUCAGACAAGGAGGCUGUUUGCUCAUUUCACCUCUGUGAGAGAUCACGCCCCAGAGAAGUCCUACACGAACAACGACUGGGGACGCAAUUACUGCCGCUGGCGCGAACGUAGAUGAAAGGACAGUGAGAGGGAGAGAAAGGAAAGAGGAUAAAGAAGGAGUAAAAAGAAGGCAUAAGAAAAGAACGUGAAAAUAAAGAAGAAAAAAGAGGAGAGAGAAAAACGAGGACAGAGGAAAAGUAGAAAGGGGAAGAAAAAAGGACAGGAGAAAAUAUGACAGGAGAAAGCAGGGUUCUUCUCUGUAUCUGCGUUGGUCCAGCGGCACCACGAGGAAGGACUACAUUUCCCAAGCGCCCCUGUUCCUAGAAGUCCCGCCCUUCCCCAGUCUCAAUUGCUGGUUGGUUACUGGCUUCGGUUUCCUCUUUUCCAUCGCCCUCUCAUUGGGCCUCCAGGCUGUCACUCUCAUUGGCAAGCGGAGCGCGGCGUGGUUGCCGGGGAGUCCGGAAGCGGGGCGGGCAGGAGGGGGCAUGCAGGCGCUAAGGGCCAAUAGAGACCUGCCCGGCCGCCCGUUUCCGCUGCGGGGCCGAGGCGUCGGCGCUGCCAGCCUCCCUGGCCGAGAGAGAGAAGCAGAAGUUUUAACUGCCUUCUUUCCUGUGUAUCUGACUUUUUUGAGGAGGAGCUCGGUAGAGGGCAGACAGGAGUAA
rnacentral:lncRNA from 1 species